AGGGCACCACCAGGAGUGGAGCCUGCGGCUUAAUUUGACUCAACACGGGAAAACUUACCCGGCCUGGACACUGGAAGGAUUGACAGAUUGAGAGCUCUUUCUUGAUUCAGUGGGUGGUGGUGCAUGGCCGUUCUUAGUUGGUGGAGCGAUUUGUCUGGUUAAUUCCGAUAACGAACGAGGCUCUAGCCUAUUAAAUAGGCUCUCGGCUUUUAAACGCCGGGAGGACUUCUUAGAGGGACAGGUGGCGGUUCAGCCGCACGAAAGAGAGCAAUAACAGGUCUGUGAUGCCCUUUGUUGUCCGGGGCCGCACGCGCGCUACACUGAAGAGAUCAGCGUGCUUUACGUUCCUGCUCCGACCGGAGUGGGGAACCCAGUGAACCUUCUUCGUGAUUGGGAUAGAAGAUUGUAAUUAUUCUUCUUGAACGAGGAAUUCCCAGUAAAUGCGAGUCAUAAGCUCGCGUUGAUUACGUCCCUGCCCUUUGUACACACCGCCCGUCGCUACUACCGAUUGAACGAUUU
rnacentral:rRNA from 1 species